AAACUUGUUUUCCAUUGAUUGACAAAGUUAUGAAACAUUUGUACACACAUUUCAAUCAUAAUAAACAAACAAAUCUUGUCCGAAGAUGUUCAUUAUCUGAAAUAUCAUCUGGGGCGACCAUCAAGAAAAUACAAAUAAGGAACUUAUAUUCUGAUAAUCAUCUCAAAGAGGAUGCUGCAUCAGCCAGCCUCAUGGUGAGGGUCCCACAGAGACAACUAGCAGAUGGCCCCACUAACAAGCAAAGAAAAGACUGCUCGCUACAGGCAGCGGAAAAUGCUGUUCAAUGUGUCUGCAGAAUGCUGCUAUGUUCAACUGUUAAAUGAAAAUAGUAAUGAAAAUGCAAACAUUGUAUGUUUAAGUGAUUAAUGAAAUGAAAAUGAAAAAGGAAAAUGCUGUUCAAUGUUAUGUCCAAGCAUUUAAUGCAUUAGUAUUGAAGAUUUUAAUAUGAUGGUUUUGUGUCAAAUGAAAUAGUGAGGAUACUGUUAAUGUUAUGAAAUGUGUCAAAUGAAAUGGAUAUGCUGAUUCUUCAUAAAAUUUCAUUAAAUAUGCUGAUUAUUCAUAAAAUUCCAUUAAAUGUGUUUUAACUAUCAAAAUCAUUGAAUAGUCUUAAUUGCCUGCUGUUUUUCAUCAUGUGGGGCGACCAUUUGUCAUGUGGGGUAACCAACUAUAUUCAAUUCUGCAGUAAAUUCAAAAAAUAAUGUCUGUCCAUUUUGGUUGAAAUAUAAUUCAUUGGUAUAACAUCAAUAAGUGGAUACUAUAUCUACACAUAUUAAAUCAGUUUUAUGGAUUAUAUGAGUAAAAUAAAUAUGUAAUUGCUUUAUGAGGGUGACACUGCCAUUAUAGAUAAAAAUGUAUUUAACAUCAUUUGCAAUAAAUGAAAGGACACAUGAGUAUAUCUUUCUUAAACAGUUCAAUUAAUUACUGAUACUUCUUAAAAUAUAACUUAUGCAAAGAAAAUCUAUUAAUUAUAAGAUAAAUUACGGUCGCCCCAAAUGACUUUUUUAAGGUCAUUGCCCUAUUCAUUUGAGUUUAAAAGCACUAAAAUAUCUUUGUUUGAAGUUUUCACACACAUGCAUGUGUAGACUACACUCCACAUGUUUAGAAAAUAGCCAAAUAUAUUAUUAUUUCAAGUAUUUUAAAAAUGGGCCUCUCAAAGGCCUUAUACGUCAUUGACCCAUAUAUA